GGGGGGGCAAGCGUUUGUUCGGAAUUACUGGGCGUAAAGGGCGCGCAGGCGGUUUCGUCAGUCAUGGGUGAAAGCCCCGGGCUCAACCCGGGAAUGGCCUGUGAAACCACGGAACUGGAGUGCUGGAGAGGGAAGCGGAAUUCCCAGUGUAGCGGUGAAAUGCGUAGAUAUUGGGAGGAACAUCGGUGGCGAAGGCGGCUUCCUGGACAGACACUGACGCUGAGGCGCGAAAGCCAGGGGAGCGAACGGGAUUAGAUACCCCGGGUAGUCCUGGCUGUAAACGAUGAAUACUUGGUGUAGGGGGUAGGAAAGUCCCCUCUGUGCCGAAGAGAACUCGAUAAGUAUUCCGCCCGGGGAGUACGGCCGCAAGGCUG
rnacentral:rRNA from 1 species